AUUGCAAAAGCUCAGUAGGGGUGAAUGAUGAAUCUAUGGAGUCUAGUAGGGAUAGAGACUGUUGUAAGACCUUUCAAGUUAGCAUUCUAGUAAAACAGUAGGAAGCUAGAGGAAUCUGGGAAGGACUAAAGCUUCAGCCUGUGGUGAAGCCUUUAAUAUCUGGGGCCUCAAACAGUUUAUCCAGAAUCCCUCUGUCAUCCGCCUCUCUGCCUGUUGUGUAUGAUUAGUGUGGCCUCACCCUCCAUGAAGUAGAGCAGCCAGACUGAGUUGCUCUGUAUUUCAUCUGCAUAUACAUUUUUGGAGGACCCUAGGACACGUGUCAAGAAGUAUCUGGAGUACAUAUGCAUACUGAGCAGAGCUGAGCUAUGGGGUCACCAAGACUUGAAAUGCUGUUGACUCUCCUGAGGCACAGCCCAAUGUACUAAAAGCCCAAAUUAAAGCAAGAGGAAAGUGCAAACAAUCAAAAGGACAGCAACUUCACUAUUCUGAAGUAUCUUCAAGAUGUUCUUUCUGCUACAAUCAGUGCAAGAAAAAGGAACAUAAGUUUUGCUCCAAGAAUAAUUUAUAUAAUUGUUUACAUUUCAAGUAAUCCAAAAUAAAGUUUUAAUUGAUCUCCUCUUCCCCCCCCCCUUCUUUCUUCUCUUAGGU